rnacentral:lncRNA from 8 species
AUGUGUUGUGGUCUUUUUUCUUUGUGCUUUAAAACAGAUACACUCACUGGCAAAAUGCUUCUGUUGUUUCUGUCUCUGGUUUUGGGAACUCCACAAGGACAAGGUCAAUUUCAAACUGCAAACUUAGGGGUUAAAGUAACGUGUGACAAUGCAUUGGUUCCAAAAGACCAGCAAGUGACACUGUGCUGUACAGUGGAUUACACUGCCAUACAAACUCCCAACCAUGGGAUGGAGGGGACUUCAAAUGACACAACAUGUGUUACUAAGUGGUGUGCAUGGAAGCGUUCAAAUGAUGUACUAUUUAAUUGUGUAAACAACAGUCACAUGAAAGAAAUGGAAGCACCGCUACGACACUACUGUUAUAAGAAAGAAAAUGUUACAAAAGCUGAUGAGGGUAAUUACACUUUUUCCAUUGGCACAGACUGUGGGGUUGAUUCAGGGACAGCAAGCGUUUUCAUUGUUGCAGUUACUGCGAAAAGUGUUGACAACAGGAGAGACCAACAAUUAAGGUUAUUCCUGGUUGUUAUCAUCAUCGUCAUCGCUGUUCCGGGCGUUCUAUUGUUUCUCAAAACUUCUCGUUCUGGCAGAGGAUUGAUGGAACGACUCAAGAGUUCUAUGACCCAGAGCAACAACAACACUGAUGAGAGCCCUGAAGGUUCAAGAGAGGCCGUUACCCUGGUGUCUGCGUAA